CGCGUGAGGAACCUGCCUCAAAGAGGGGGACAACAGUUGGAAACGACUGCUAAUACCGCAUAAGCCCACGGGUCGGCAUCGACCUGAGGGAAAAGGAGCAAUCCGCUUUGAGAUGGCCUCGCGUCCGAUUAGCUAGUUGGUGAGGUAAUGGCCCACCAAGGCGACGAUCGGUAGCCGGACUGAGAGGUUGAACGGCCACAUUGGGACUGAGACACGGCCCAGACUCCUACGGGAGGCAGCAGUGGGGAAUAUUGCACAAUGGGGGAAACCCUGAUGCAGCGACGCCGCGUGGAGGAAGAAGGUCUUCGGAUUGUAAACUCCUGUUGUUGAGGAAGAUAAUGACGGUACUCAACAAGGAAGUGACGGCUAACUACGUGCCAGCAGCCGCGGUAAAACGUAGGUCACAAGCGUUGUCCGGAAUUACUGGGUGUAAAGGGAGCGCAGGCGGGAAGACAAGUUGGAAGUGAAAUCUAUGGGCUCAACCCAUAAACUGCUUUCAAAACUGUUUUUCUUGAGUAGUGCAGAGGUAGGCGGAAUUCCCGGUGUAG
rnacentral:rRNA from 1 species